rnacentral:rRNA from 1 species
AGCAGCCGCGGUAAUUCCAGCUCCAAUAGCGUAUAUUAAAGUUGCUGCAGUUAAAAAGCUCGUAGUUGAAUUUCGGGACUAAUAUGUCGGUCGUGCCUCGGUACGUACUGGCUUAUUAGUUUCUCCUUUCUGAAGAACCAUGAUGUCAUUUAUUUGGUGUCGUGGGGAAUCAGGACUGUUACUUUGAAAAAUUAGAGUGUUUAAAGCAGGCUCACGCUUGAAUACAUUAGCAUGGAAUAAUGAAAUAGGACGUUCGAUCCUAUUUUGUUGGUUUCUAGGAUUGACGUAAUGAUUAAUAGGGAUAGUUGGGGGCAUUAGUAUUCAAUUGUCAGAGGUGAAAUUCUUGGAUUUAUUGAAGACUAACUACUGCGAAAGCAUUUGCCAAGGAUGUUUUCAUUAAUCAAGAACGAAAGUUAGGGGAUCGAAGACGAUCAGAUACCGUCGUAGUCUUAACCAUAAACUAUGCCGACUAGGGAUCGGAUGAUGUUAAUUUUUAAUGACUCAUUCGGCGCCUUACGGG